GACGAACGCUGGCGGCGUGCCUAAUACAUGCAAGUGGGACGCAAGGAAACACACUGUGCUUGCACACCGUGUUUUCUUGAGUCGCGAACGGGUGAGUAACGCGUAGGUAACCUGCCUAUUAGCGGGGGAUAACUAUUGGGAACGAUAGCUAAUACCGCAUAAUAUUAAUUAUUGCAUGAUAAUUGAUUGAAAGAUGCAAGCGCAUCACUAGUAGAUGGACCUGCGUUGUAUUAGCUAGUUGGUAAGGUAAGAGCUUACCAAGGCGACGAUACAUAGCCGACCUGAGAGGGUGAUCGGCCACACUGGGACUGAGACACGGCCCAGACUCCUACGGGAGGCAGCAGUAGGGAAUCUUCGGCAAUAGACGAAAGUCUGACCGAGCAACGCCGCGUGAGUGAAGAAGGUUUUCGGAUCGUAAAGCUCUGUUGUAAGUCAAGAACGUGUGUGAGAGUGGAAAGUUCACACAGUGACGGUAGCUUACCAGAAAGGGACGGCUAACUACGUG
rnacentral:rRNA from 1 species